GAUGAACGCUAGCGGCAGGCCUAAUACAUGCAAGUCGAACGAUAGUGAGAAGCUUGCUUCUCACGCAAGUGGCGCACGGGUGCGUAACGCGUAUGCAACCUACCUUAAUCAGGGGGAUAGCCCGAAGAAAUUCGGAUUAACACCGCAUAAAAUCACAGUAUAGCAUUAUACAAUGAUCAAAUAUUUAUAGGAUUAAGAUGGGCAUGCGUGACAUUAGUUAGGUGGCGGGGUAACGGCCCACCAAGACCACGAUGUCUAGGGGAUCUGAGAGGAUGACCCCCCACACUGGUACUGAGACACGGACCAGACUCCUACGGGAGGCAGCAGUAAGGAAUAUUGGUCAAUGGAGGCAACUCUGAACCAGCCAUGCCGCGUGCAGGAAGACAGCCCUCUGGGUCGUAAACUGCUUUUAUUCGGGAAUAAACCUAUCUACGUGUAGAUAGCUGAAUGUACCGAAGGAAUAAGGAUCGGCUAACUCCGUGUCAGCCGCCGCGGUAA
rnacentral:rRNA from 1 species